AUUGAACGCUAGCGGGAUGCCUUACACAUGCAAGUCGAACGGAGUGGCGAACGGGUGAGUCAUGUAUCGGCCCGUGCCCAGCAGCGGGGGAUACCUACGCGCAAGCGUAGCUAAUACCGCAUACUAUUGUAGCCGCCGCUAUGGGAUUAGCUAGUUGGUGGGGUAACGGCUCACCAAGGCGACGAUCCGUAGCUGGUUUGAGCGGACGACCAGCCACACUGGGAGUGAGACACGGCCCAGACUCCUACGGGGGGCAGCAGUGGGGAAUUGUGGACAAGGGGGGAAACCCUGAUCCAGCCAAGCCGCGUGUGUGAUGAAGGCAUUCGGGUUGUAAAGCACAUUUGGCAGGAAAGCGGUACCUGCAGAAUAAGCACCGGCUAACUACGUGCCAGCAGCCGCGGUAAUUC
rnacentral:rRNA from 1 species